CAGCCGGGUGUCCGCUUUCAGUUUACCUGCAGAGACGUGAAGCUCAUCUUAUACACUAUUCAUGUGAAUGUCUAUUCUUAUGAAAUUACAUACUGUAUGUUUAAAUUAGUCUCGGAGCUUAUUAAAGAAACGUUCACGUGAAUGAAGAUUAAUGUUGCAGGUAUUUGCAGCCCAUCUCCUCGGGAGGCCUCAUCCAUCAGCGGAGGUGUCUGGGCGACACAACCGCCCCGACACAUACUAACCCAUUUACACACAGGAGCAUACGGGAAAACAUCACUCAAGAUGGCUAACUCGCUUACUGACAGCUGAUGUGGUGAAAAUUCUCCAGCUUGUCCCCCGAGUCCCCCCGGCGCGUCCAACGACGUUUUAAGGAAAGAUAAAUUCAGCUGGCAGAAACUGGGGUGGGUGAGGGUGCAGUUGGAUUUGAAUCGGCUUGGGUCACUUCAUCCAUCUUCAUUGUUUAAGAGGCCUGCUGGAGAAGCAUCAUUUGAUUCGGCUGUGUUGGACCACAGCUUGCCAGAUAUGAAACCUUGAGGACUGCCUUCGGACACUGGUUUAAGGAUCUCUACAUGACAAGGCAAUGAGUGCGAUGUUAAGCUCAAUACAGACAUUUCUCUCUCUCUCUA